UGGGGAAUAUUGCACAAUGGGCGCAAGCCUGAUGCAGCCAUGCCGCGUGUGUGAAGAAGGCCUUCGGGUUGUAAAGCACUUUCAGCGAGGAGGAAGGCAUUAAGGUUAAUAACCUUAGUGAUUGACGUUACUCGCAGAAGAAGCACCGGCUAACUCCGUGCCAGCAGCCGCGGUAAUACGGAGGGUGCAAGCGUUAAUCGGAAUUACUGGGCGUAAAGCGCACGCAGGCGGUUUGUUAAGUCAGAUGUGAAAUCCCCGAGCUUAACUUGGGAACUGCAUUUGAAACUGGCAAGCUAGAGUCUUGUAGAGGGGGGUAGAAUUCCAGGUGUAGCGGUGAAAUGCGUAGAGAUCUGGAGGAAUACCGGUGGCGAAGGCGGCCCCCUGGACAAAGACUGACGCUCAGGUGCGAAAG
rnacentral:rRNA from 1 species